rnacentral:rRNA from 1 species
UGAGUAAUGUAUCGGAACGUGCCUAGUAGCGGGGGAUAACUACGCGAAAGCGUAACUUAUACCGCAAACGCCCUACAGGGGAAAGCAAGGGAUCGCAAGACCUUGCACUAUUAGAGCGGCCGAUAUCGGAUUAGCUAGUUGGUGGGGUAACGGCUCACCAAGGACCACGAUCCACUAUCUGGUUUGAGAGGACGACCAACCACACUGCGGACUGAGACACGGCCCAGACUCCUACUGGAGGCAGCAGUGGGGAAUUUUGGACAAUGGGGGAAACCCUGAUCCAGCCAUCCCGCGUGUGCGAUGAAGGCCUUCGGGUUGUAAAGCACUUUUGGCAGGAAAGAAACGUCAUGGGCUAAUACCCCGUGAAACUGACGGUACCUGCAGAAUAAGCACCGGCUAACUACGUGCCAGCAGCCGC